rnacentral:lncRNA from 1 species
UAAUGAAUUAAGAAAAAAAAUCAUCACAAGUUUAUUUGGAAUAAAUAAUAUUAAUGAUUAAUUGAGGAAAUAUAUUGGGUUGAAUUGAUGUGUUUUUAGAUCUGACUUCUCUACCACCCAAAUUGAUUUUCUUAGAAAGAACCCACCCCAUAAUAAAUAGUCAAUUCUAAAAUUAACAAUUUACUAAAGGUACGCAUUUUGACUCAAAUUUAAUUUUGAAAAGGCUUAUAAAUAAGGAGAUCAGAACACACACAAAAAAAAACAACACAUCAUCCACAAAUCAUCUAAAAAAUUAUUGUAAAGAAAAGAAAAGAAGAAGAGAAAUUUUCUUGAAAAGAAAUAAGAUGAGGUCGUGGAUGAUAUGUGUGGUUUUCAUUAGCAUGGUGGUGAUGUUCCAAAAUGUUGAAGCAGACAGAAAAUAUCUUAAAUUUGUAGAUUGUAAUCAACCGAAGCCACCUCCAUUUUGCGGACUUUUGAAAUCAACCCAGCUAGUAGAACGUGGAUGCUCGGCUCUCCCCAGUAUCUGUCGUGGAAGUGGAUCAGCAGCACGCCGACCCAAUCCAUAGGUUUUUGAAACAAUUACCUUCUUCAUGCAUCCUAGUUGUUCCUUUUGGAUUUUUGAGAAGUAUAUACAGAAAAUGAAUCUUCUAGGAUGUACCAACUAUUUCCCUUAUUCAUUUACCAUAACUCAUAUGCAAUCCCACCCUGAUAUUUAUUUAUCAUGGAAGCAGAGACCAAAACAAUGUAUCACUUUCAAAGGUUAAAUUGCAAAUUUACUUCCACCCUCACAUUUGUAUCAAUUUAGUUCUUCAAAACUAAAAUUUACAAUUCUACUACUCUAACUAUCAAAUUUCAACUUAUCUAAUUUAUUUUUUCUUUCAUUCAAAAUUGUCAGGUCGGCAUUAGAGGACAACCAAAAUUUGAUUGCCAUAUAUUUCACUCCUACCUUUUUAUUAAUUCUCUCCAAAUAUAUGUGUACAUGUAAUGUAUAUAAUCUUCAACUAUAGAAGCCCACAGCUAUUAAAUUACAUUAUUGAAAAGCAUAUCAAAUGUAAAUCAAAAUUUGUCAAAUAAAUAUAUUUUUAUGGGUAGCUCCAAAAUUCUAUAGAAUUCAAAUGAUAUAAGAAUAUGAAUAAAAAGUAAUAGUACGAUAGAAAUUAGUAAUGUGAAAG